rnacentral:rRNA from 1 species
UAGGGAAUCUUCGGCAAUGGGGGCAACCCUGACCGAGCAACGCCGCGUGAGUGAAGAAGGUUUUCGGAUCGUAAAGCUCUGUUGUAAGAGAAGAACGUGUGUGAGAGUGGAAAGUUCACACAGUGACGGUAACUUACCAGAAAGGGACGGCUAACUACGUGCCAGCAGCCGCGGUAAUACGUAGGUCCCGAGCGUUGUCCGGAUUUAUUGGGCGUAAAGCGAGCGCAGGCGGUUUAAUAAGUCUGAAGUUAAAGGCAGUGGCUUAACCAUUGUUCGCUUUGGAAACUGGUAAACUUGAGUGGAGAAGGGGAGAGUGGAAUUCCAUGUGUAGCGGUGAAAUGCGUAGAUAUAUGGAGGAACACCGGUGGCGAAAGCGGCUCUCUGGUCUGUAACUGACGCUGAGGCUCGAAAGCGUGGGGAGCAAACAGG